UACGGGAGGCAGCAGUGGGGAAUAUUGCACAAUGGGCGCAAGCCUGAUGCAGCCAUGCCGCGUGUAUGAAGAAGGCCUUCGGGUUGUAAAGUACUUUCAGCGGGGAGGAAGGGAGUAAAGUUAAUACCUUUGCUCAUUGACGUUACCCGCAGAAGAAGCACCGGCUAACUCCGUGCCAGCAGCCGCGGUAAUACGGAGGGUGCAAGCGUUAAUCGGAAUUACUGGGCGUAAAGCGCACGCAGGCGGUUUUGUUAAGUCAGAUGUGAAAUCCCCGGGCUCAACCUGGGAACUGCAUCUGAUACUGGCAAGCUUGAGUCUCGUAGAGGGGGUAGAAUUCCAGGUGUAGCGGUGAAAUGCGUAGAGAUCUGGAGGAAUACCGGUGGCGAAGGCGGCCCCUGGGACGAAGACUGACGCUCAGGGUGCGAAAGCGUGGGGAGCAAACGAGGAUUAGAUACC
rnacentral:rRNA from 1 species